GGGGAAUUUUGGACAAUGGGCGCAAGCCUGAUCCAGCAAUGCCGCGUGCAGGAUGAAGGCCUUCGGGUUGUAAACUGCUUUUGUACGGAACGAAAAGCCUCUCUCUAAUACAGGGGGGUGAUGACGGUACCGUAAGAAUAAGCACCGGCUAACUACGUGCCAGCAGCCGCGGUAAUACGUAGGGGGCGAGCGUUGCCCGGAAUUACUGGGCGUAAAGGGAACGUAGGUGGCUCUUAAAGUCAGGUGUGAAAAUAACGAAGCUUAACAGGUUAAUGCGCUUGAAACUAAAGGGCUUGAGGGCAAUAGAGGGAGAUGGAAUUACCUGUGUAGGGGUGAAAUCCGCAGAUAUAGGUAAGAAGGCCGGUGGGGAAGCCGAUCUCCUGGGUUGACUCUGACACUGAGGUUCGAAAGCGUGGGGAGCAAACA
rnacentral:rRNA from 1 species